rnacentral:sRNA from 1 species
UGGUUCUGAUCUGGUUCCUGUGCUGAGUGACCCAUAUCAUUCCCUCUUAGCCCUACGUGUGUCCUUCCUGAAGCUGUGAACUCAGCCAAAGAGCACAGCCACCUACGCCAGGGGAGGGCUGUUGUUUGGCCAAGGGUAUGCAAGCAGCUGCACUCCCCUGCUAGGACAAGCUCUUAAGGCCCACACUUGCUUAGAUUUCUUUGAUGGGACAUUUUAGGCAAGGCUUUAUGUUCCUG